rfam:Veillonella montpellierensis DNF00314 contig36, whole genome shotgun sequence.
GACUCAGUAGCUAAGCUGGAUAUAGCGUCUGACUACGAAUCAGAAGGCCGGGGGUUCGAAUCCCUCCUGGGUCA